AGUGAACGCUGGCGGUAGGCCUAACACAUGCAAGUCGAACGGCAGCACAGUAAGAGCUUGCUCUUACGGGUGGCGAGUGGCGGACGGGUGAGGAAUACAUCGGAAUCUACUUUUUCGUGGGGGAUAACGUAGGGAAACUUACGCUAAUACCGCAUACGACCUACGGGUGAAAGCAGGGGAUCUUCGGACCUUGCGCGAUUGAAUGAGCCGAUGUCGGAUUAGCUAGUUGGCGUGGUAAAGGCCCACCAAGGCGACGAUCCGUAGCUGGUCUGAGAGGAUGAUCAGCCACACUGGAACUGAGACACGGUCCAGACUCCUACGGGAGGCAGCAGUGGGGAAUAUUGGACAAUGGGCGCAAGCCUGAUCCAGCCAUACCGCGUGGGUGAAGAAGGCCUUCGGGUUGUAAAGCCCUGUUGUUGGGAAAGAAAAGCAGCAGGUUAAUACCCCGCUGUUCUGACGGUACCCAAAGAAUAAGCACCGGCUAACUUCGUG
rnacentral:rRNA from 1 species